rnacentral:rRNA from 1 species
GAUGAACGCUGGCGGCGUGCCUAAUACAUGCCAGUCGAGCGAACGGACGAGAAGCUUGCUUCUCUGAUGUUAGCGGCGGACGGGUGAGUAACACGUGGAUAACCUACCUAUAAGACUGGGAUAACUUCGGGAAACCGGAGCUAAUACCGGAUAAUAUUUUGAACCGCAUGGUUCAAAAGUGAAAGACGGUCUUGCUGUCACUUAUAGAUGGAUCCGCGCUGCAUUAGCUAGUUGGUAAGGUAACGGCUUACCAAGGCAACGAUGCAUAGCCGACCUGAGAGGGUGAUCGGACACACUGGAACUGGGACACGGUCCAGACUCCUACGGGAGGAAGCAGUAGGGAAUCUUCCGCAAUGGGCGAAAGCCUGACGGAGCAACGCCGCGUGAGUGAUGAAGGUCUUCGGAUCGUAAAACUCUGUUAUUAGGGAAGAACAUAUGUGUAAGUAACUGUGCACAUCUUGACGGUACCUAAUCAGAAAGCCACGGCUAACUACGUG